CUCCACUUGCAGGUCUGCCCCUUCCAGGGAGGAGGAGCCAAUCUGAAGCCUGAAUGCUGAUUCGGGAGGAGCAGAAACGUGAAAACAGGAAGUGACUGUAGAACAGGCAUCAUGUGCACAGACUCACCCAAACUCGACUGUUGAAGACUGGGAAAAGAACAGCAUCUCACUACGGGAAACAACUCGUGCGUGACUGAUCCUGGAAGCACCAAUAACACCACGUCUGUCAGCUGACAGACUGAUCAUGACAGUGAUGAGGGUGUCCUGCCUAUCUAACAUAAGACACUGCCGAAGGUCCCUUCUUCAUUCAUGUUCUCUUCCCCAUGAAGAUCAAGCUGGAAGCUAUCCUCAGCAAGACCUGCUAAAGAUAUUUGCUCAACACUUCAUAGACGAGCCCUCAAGGUUCGCAUCUCCAUGGAUCUCGGUAGUGGUUAAAGCUGAUCACCUGGCAGUGAAACUCAGUUAAUGCACACGGCAUCGGUGCCACCUCCUGCCACUUGCUGUGCCUGCUGUCAUAAACCUGCACCUCAUCUGUG